rnacentral:lncRNA from 1 species
UUGAAGAAGAAAAGUUUAGGGUUCCAUAGACACCAAGCUUGAAAAUCAAAGGUAAGCUUAUAAAUGUGUAGGAAAUAACAUCUUCUCAUUUCUUCAUGCAUGAAUUUGAAUUAUAAAGUUUUAAUUUAUAGUUUAUUCAAUCCUUUCCUAAGACAUAAAUUGACCUAGGUGAAGGAACAUCAAAGGGAAAGGAGAUAGCUAGAGAAUAGAAGAGGAAAAGAAAGAGGAAUUCAAGAAAGGUUUGGUGUUUGAAUGAUUUUCUAUUUUCUUUUGAUUCUGCCAUGAAUAAGUGAGAUUAGAGGUUGAUUUUACUUGCUGGAAAUGUUGCUUUAAUUGUAUAAAUAUGUUAUAUGAAUGUUAAAAUGAUGUUUAAAAGGCUUAGAGUAAAGAAAUUUAAGAUGAGAGCUAAAAGUGCAAACCUAACAGAAUAGAUUGUAACAUGGCAGUUUGUGUUGACAACUUCAUAACUUAUUGUGUAUUUAUUGAAAUUAGGCCUAAGAUAUACUAAAUGAAAGCUGAAACAAAGAGCUAAAACUUUUAUGAAUUGACCAAAUUCUGAAUCUGUAGGUAAGAUGAUGAAAAUUUCAAGUGAACCUAAACUGGACACAGAGUUAGUGCAUCCGGAAUAGUAUGUAAAGAUUAUACCAUAACUAAUUAUGUACUCAGUGAAAUUUGUUAAGACUAGUACUAAAUGAAUCUUAAGAAGUAUACCUAAAACUUUGUAGAAGAUACUUAAGUUUGAAUAUGUAUGAAAAUACAUGAAUUUGAUAUGUUUUGUAAUACUAUAAACAAGUACCAAUACUGGACUGAUUAAGACCUUAUUGCACAGCUUGUAAAGAAAAAUUUAUAAAUUAAGUUAGAGUGAUCAGAUUAGCAUGAACCAUACCUUGUUGGAAAGAUAAGACAUAAAUGUACAUUUGUUAUGAAGAAACUGAAGUCAAAUUGUAACUCUAAGCUACUUGAAAUUUUUAUGCAAUAUAAGGCAGAAUGCAAUUUUCUCAAAUUGGAAGGCAAAAUGCAGUUUUCUCAAAUUGGAAUGCUAUGUUGACAAAGUUUUGCACCAUUUGCCAUGAAUUUAUCAUCUUGUUGACUUUGACAUAUGAUAUAUGUAUUUUGGAAAUGAAUUCAAAUAGCUUCAAAUGAUGUGCAUUUACAUUGAAUUAAUGAUACUUGGCCCUGGUAAACGUAAUAGGAGUCGAGGUUAGCUUAAGGGUAUGGCAUGCCAUAUAAACAUACAGAGUUCGCAGUACUACUACCGAUACAUGAUUUUUAUUUGAGGUUACAUAUCAGGUACCUCAUAAGCACGGUCAUAGAGCCCUGCUAUCACAGUUUUGGCCUCUGAGCCUACCGUUCGGCACUCUGUGCCUACCGUUAUAAUUCCUUAUCUACCUAGUCGACCCUACUAUGUGUUUAUAAGGGCUAAGGACCAAAUUAAGAUUGAUACUUGUUUUGGUGAAAUUAUCAGUGAAUGUUAACAACUUUUGAUUAGCUUGAAAUUGUUUACUUGAUUAUCUAUAUAAGUGAACUCGUUUGCUUUAUUUUGUUAUUUGUUUUCUAUCACCCACUGAGCAUUAGCUCAGCAUGUUGGUUCUUACCUCACGCAGGUUGUAGAUAAAGUAGAUACGCGGAGUUCAUCAGAGGUCUACAUCAGAUAUCAAGGCCAUUAUCAUAGCUGGUAGUUUUGAGUCUCUGAGUCAUAGUACAGUUAUAUUUUGGCAUGUACAUAUUUAAUAGAGUGAGUUGUAAAGGUUAUG